rnacentral:rRNA from 1 species
CCUACGGGGUGCAGCAGUGGGGAAUAUUGGACAAUGGGCGAAAGCCUGAUCCAGCCAUGCCGCGUGUGUGAAGAAGGCCUUCGGGUUGUAAAGCACUUUCAGUGGGGAAGAAAGCCUUGGGGCUAAUACCCUCGAGGAAGGACAUCACCCACAGAAGAAGCACCGGCUAACUCCGUGCCAGCAGCCGCGGUAAUACGGAGGGUGCGAGCGUUAAUCGGAAUUACUGGGCGUAAAGCGCGCGUAGGCGGUCUGAUAAGCCGGUUGUGAAAGCCCCGGGAUCAACCUGGGAACGGCAUCCGGAACUGUCAGGCUAGAGUGCAGGAGAGGAAGGUAGAAUUCCCGGUGUAGCGGUGAAAUGCGUAGAGAUCGGGAGGAAUACCAGUGGCGAAGGCGGCCUUCUGGACUGACACUGACGCUGAGGUGCGAAAGCGUGGGUAGCAAACAGGAUUAGAUACCCCAGUAGUC